rnacentral:lncRNA from 1 species
UUAGAUUCAAAAGGUACUGAAAAAUCAUUACUCCCAGUCUAGUGUUUGAUAACCACUAGCAUGUUUUUUCUACAAUAGUCUUAUUUUAUAUAAAACAUAUAACAAAUAAAUGAGUACCCAUAAAUAUUAUAAACCCAAAUAGGUUUUAAGAUCUACAACAUUUUCAGCUGAACAUAUUUUAGCUAUUGCCACAUCACCUCUCUUUAUGAUUUCACAUGUAAGGUGGAAUCUUCACUCAAUAUAUUUUACUCUUUCGUGAGAUUUAGGCUCAAUAGCAUUUGCAAUUGCUCUAUUAUUGUCACCGUAAAUCGUGAUUGGUGACUCAAUAUAAAGAACAACACCAAGUUCUUGAAUAA